rnacentral:rRNA from 1 species
UUUAACACGAAGUGAGUGGCGGACGGGUGAGUAGCACGUGGGUAACCUGCCCAGAAGCAGGGGAUAACACCUGGAAACAGAUGCUAAUACCGUAUAACAGAGAAAACCGCCUGGUUUUCUUUUAAAAGAUGGCUCUGCUAUCACUUCUGGAUGGACCCGCGGCGCAUUAGCUAGUUGGUGAGGUAACGGCUCACCAAGGCGAUGAUGCGUAGCCGACCUGAAAGGGUAAUCGGCCACAUUGGGACUGAGACACGGCCCAGACUCCUACGGGAGGCAGCAGUAGGGAAUCUUCCACAAUGGACGCAAGUCUGAUGGAGCAACGCCGCGUGAGUGAAGAAGGGUUUCGGCUCGUAAAGCUCUGUUGUUAAAGAAGAACGUGGGUGAGAGUAACUGUUCACCCAGUGACGGUAUUUAACCAGAAAGCCACGGCUAACUACGUGCCAGCAGCCGCGGUAAUACGUAGGUGGCAAGCGUUAUCCGGAUUUAUUGGGCGUAAAGCGAGCGCAGGCGGUCUUUUAAGUCUAAUGUGAAAGCCUUCGGCUCAACCGAAGAAGUGCAUUGGAAACUGGGAGACUUGAGUGCAGAAGAGGACAGUGGAACUCCAUGUGUAGCGGUGAAAUGCGUAGAUAUAUGGAAGAACACCAGUGGCGAAGGCGGCUGUCUGGUCUGUAACUGACGCUGAGGCUCGAAAGCAUGGGUAGCGAACAGGAUUAGAUACCCUGGUAGUCCAUGCCGUAAACGAUGAUUACUAAGUGUUGGAGGGUUUCCGCCCUUCAGUGCUGCAGCUAACGCAUUAAGUAAUCCGCCUGGGGAGUACGACCGCAAGGUUGAAACUCAAAAGAAUUGACGGGGGCCCGCACAAGCGGUGGAGCAUGUGGUUUAAUUCGAAGCUACGCGAAGAACCUUACCAGGUCUUGACAUCUUCUGCCAACCUAAGAGAUUAGGCGUUCCCUUCGGGGACAGAAUGACAGGUGGUGCAUGGUUGUCGUCAGCUCGUGUCGUGAGAUGUUGGGUUAAGUCCCGCAACGAGCGCAACCCUUAUUACUAGUUGCCAGCAUUCAGUUGGGCACUCUAGUGAGACUGCCGGUGACAAACCGGAGGAAGGUGGGGACGACGUCAAAUCAUCAUGCCCCUUAUGACCUGGGCUACACACGUGCUACAAUGGAUGGUACAACGAGUCGCGAAACCGCGAGGUUUAGCUAAUCUCUUAAAACCAUUCUCAGUUCGGACUGUAGGCUGCAACUCGC